ensembl:lncRNA novel transcript
ACAGCCUGAACCUUGGAGAACACCUCCCUUUCAUAUGACUUCUGCAAAGGGCGUGUUUCAGCUCACAGGGACAAAGAGUCACUGCACCAGAGAACCAGAAAGAGUUACAGACACGGCUCACAGGCUUAAGCGUCUUGCUGUAGGUCAUACGGCAGGUUAAUGACAACACUGGGGCAAGAACACAGGUUACGCUCGUCCUGGGGAAGGCUCCCACACCAAGCUACACACUUCUGCAAUGCUGUUCCAGAUGUGAAAAUCCGCUAAGACAAAUAGGUCACAAAAACACCAUGGGAAACGAUGAUGUCUUUUCCUUUUUGUUAUCUUGAUAAAGCUUCAUACAUGAAUGAUAAAAUGGAAAUUUCAGUUGAGGAACUAAUAAAUCAACAGAUGUCUUACUCCACAACGAGGUGCAAGAUCUUGAGGCUGGAUUUAGAAAGAGGAAGAGAAGACCAAUUGCACAGCUCAUCACCCCUCACCCAUCUGAUGAUAUGAAAGGUUUGAAGGAAGCCAGAGCUGGAGCAAGAUUUUCCUCAGAUGAGUUUUGAUGAACUACAAAGAAUGAAGAUGCUCUCCCUUGUCAUCCCCAGUCAAAGAAAAGGCACUUUAAAGAAAUCACUCACGAGCCAGAUAUUGUGGUUGUAUUUUGGUGGACACAGUGAAGUCACGUCUGGCUCGCUCCGCAAAUACUGGGAGGUCUGGAUUCUGAUUGAUACACAAAAGCUGCAUUCCCACAUCAAGGGAACUCCGAGUGUUCACCCUCCGUGGUAAGGGGAGACUGGGAGACCCCACAAAAGCAUCCCAAGAGAGGAAGAGUCCCUUUACACACCUGCUGCCCCGUGUGUGGAUGCCCACUGAGCACGGAAGUUGUCAAGGACAAAAGGAGGAACUAGCCCACCAAGCAGGUUUAAAGGGAGUGUCGGACACAAAAAUGACAUGCCCCAUAUUGCAGUCUAGAAGGAACAACACGGUGAAUUGUCUACUGCAGAACACUUCACUCUGUCUCGAUUACUACAUGGUGAAUUGAAGUUCCAGUAGAGAGGGAGUUGAGCUGAUACUGAGGAGGCUAAAACACCCAUAACCAUCAUCUUUGAUAAAUACCCAUCACUGUAUACAUCUACUUCUUGGAAUUUGCAAGGGAACCAGUCAACAGAUUUUUCAAGCCUUAUAAGUUUAUCUGCCUGAGAAGUUCACCAGCUACAUAACAUCCUGGACUCUGGAGCCCAAGAGAUGUGUAGUUUCCAUUUUGGAGCCAUUUUCUUUGAUAAAUAAGUAGUGAGGCUGCCAUUCUUGUCAAAGUUGAGGACCACAACCUUACUCAUGAAACUGAAAGAUUGUUUGUUAUGAGGAGUUCUGUUUGAGCCAUACAAGCAAUAUAUCCUUUUUAAAGAAAUGUAUCCGGAAUCUUAGGUGUUCAUUGCUCCAAGCCAUGUGCAGAAUAAAAAGAAAACAAAAAACAAAAAACAGGAAGUGUGAAUAUUUUUGACCAAUACAGUGAUUACACUCCAUUCCCCAAAAGAUUGCCUACAAAUGUGUCUAAGCUAGAAAUCAUCUACAGUCCAUACUACGGGGUGGAUCAAUGGUGAUUUCAUCAGCACCAGCCCAGCUGCUCCAUGACAGAGAGGCCUGCAUGCCGCCCUCCAUCUUCCACCUGUCCACGGCUGACACACGGUGGGAAAGGGUUUUGCUGACAUUGGUGAUCUGAGCUGAAAAUGUGAAGCCACCUUUUGGCAUAUAAUUCAUAUUGGUUUUUC